AUGCUUGUGACGACAUUUUUGUGUCAUAGCUCGAAUUUUGCCUUGCCAUUAUCGACGAACAUGCCUGGUUCAAUGGAACGUUUCGAUGAGGUAUUUUUUGUUGAGCUCUCCCGAGAUGAUGCUCAGAGAUACCUUAAUCCAGUGAGAAGUAACCGUGGAUCAAAUGCUUACUCCCAAGACGCUUCUGCUCAAGGCUGGGGGAGUACAAGCCAUAAUCAGAGGCAGGGGAGAUCCAAUGUUUCAGAUAAGCAGUCAAGUUCCAAUGCUCCAACUGAACCGUCAAGCUCAUAUGCUCCAGCUGAAAAGGAUAAGGAGGUGGCGGACUCUGGUUUCAUCCUGUCCAAGAAGCUUGAGCUAGGACAGGAAUACGAAGAAAUGGAUAAGGAGUACAGCAACAUCAGGAAAAUGUCCAGGGGUGGCCAAGCUGAAGAUGCUGCUUGGGUUGCAUUCGAAGCUCGCUUGGACAAAUGCAGAGCGAUGCAAAAAGAGAUAAGAAAUGCCAAAGGGGUUCCUGAGCCCAUCCCUGAGCGGUUCUUAUUGGGCAAGGAUUUCGUCCGGUCCAAGAAUCUUGAGCUUCAAGAGGAACUGAAAUCAGCGGUAAAAAGUCACAAGGAAGCCAUUGAGAUGUCCGGGAAGGGUCAUGCCUCAGCUGCUGAGAUGGAAUCUGCUUGGGAUGAAUUCAAAGUUCACUUUAACAGAUGCAGAGCGAUCCAAAGAGAGAUAAGAGAUGCCAAAGGGGUUCCUCUGCCCAUGCCCGAGGAGUUUGUGGACUACUAG
rnacentral:rRNA from 1 species